UGGGGAAUAUUGCACAAUGGGCGAAAGCCUGAUGCAGCAACGCCGCGUGAGCGAUGAAGGCCUUCGGGUCGUAAAGCUCUGUCCUCAAGGAAGAUAAUGACGGUACUUGAGGAGGAAGCCCCGGCUAACUACGUGCCAGCAGCCGCGGUAAUACGUAGGGGGCUAGCGUUAUCCGGAAUUACUGGGCGUAAAGGGUGCGUAGGUGGUUUCUUAAGUCAGAGGUGAAGGGCGACGGCUCAACCGUAGUAAGCCUUUGAAACUGAGAAACUUGAGUGCAGGAGAGGAGAGUAGAAUUCCUAGUGUAGCGGUGAAAUGCGUAGAUAUUAGGAGGAAUACCAGUUGCGAAGGCGGCUCUCUGGACUGUAACUGUCACUGAGGCACGAAAGCGUGGGGAGCAAACA
rnacentral:rRNA from 1 species